AUUGAACGCUGGCGGCAUGCCUUACACAUGCAAGUCGAACGGUAACAGGUCUUCGGAUGCUGACGAGUGGCGAACGGGUGAGUAAUGCAUCGGAACGUGCCCAGUAGUGGGGGAUAGCCCGGCGAAAGCCGGAUUAAUACCGCAUACGACCUGAGGGUGCAAGGGGGGGAUCGCAAGACCUCUCGCUAUUGGAGCGGCCGAUGUCAGAUUAGCUAGUUGGUGGGGUAAAGGCCUACCAAGGCAACGAUCUGUAGUUGGUCUGAGAGGACGACCAGCCACACUGGGACUGAGACACGGCCCAGACUCCUACGGGAGGCAGCAGUGGGGAAUUUUGGACAAUGGGCGCAAGCCUGAUCCAGCAAUGCCGCGUGCAGGAAGAAGGCCUUCGGGUUGUAAACCGCUUUUGUCAGGGAAGAAAUCUUCUGGGUUAAUACCUCGGGAGGAUGACGGUACCUGAAGAAUAAGCACCGGCUAACUACGUGCCAGCAGCCGCCGUAACAC
rnacentral:rRNA from 1 species